rnacentral:tRNA from 1 species
GCCGGGGUGGUGAAAUUGGCAGACACGCAUGGUUCAGGUCCAUGUGCGGGCAACCGCGUGGAGGUUCAAGUCCUCUCUCCGGCACCA